CCCAGACUCCUACGGGAGGCAGCAGUGGGGAAUAUUGGACAAUGGGGGGAACCCUGAUCCAGCGACGCCGCGUGAGUGAAGAAGUAUUUCGGUAUGUAAAGCUCUCUCAGCAGGGAAGAAAGAAAUGACGGUACCUGACUAAGAAGCCCCGGCUAACUACGUGCCAGCAGCCGCGGUAAUACGUAGGGGGCAAGCGUUAUCCGGAUUUACUGGGUGUAAAGGGGGCGCAGACGGCAGCGCAAGCCAGGAGUGAAAGCCCGGGGCCCAACCCCGGGACUGCUCUUGGAACUGCGCGGCUGGAGUGCAGGAGGGGCAGGCGGAAUUCCUGGUGUAGCGGUGAAAUGCGUAGAUAUCAGGAGGAACACCGGUGGCGAAGGCGGCCUGCUGGACUGCGACUGACGUUGAGGCCCGAAAGCGUGGGGAGCAAACAGGAUUAGAUACCCCUGUA
rnacentral:rRNA from 1 species